rnacentral:rRNA from 1 species
UACGAAGGGGGCUAGCGUUGCUCGGAAUCACUGGGCGUAAAGGGCGCGUAGGCGGCCUUGUAAGUUGGGGGUGAAAGCCCGUGGCUCAACGACGGAAUUGCCUUCGAUACUGCUUGGCUUGAGUGUGGUAGAGGUUGGUGGAACUGCGAGUGUAGAGGUGAAAUUCGUAGAUAUUCGCAAGAACACCGGUGGCGAAGGCGGCCAACUGGACCAUCACUGACGCUGAGGCGCGAAAGCGUGGGGAGCAAACAGGGAUUAGAUACCCUGGUAGUCCACGCCGUAAACGAUGAAUGCCAGCUGUUGGGAUGCUUGCAUCUCAGUAGCGCGGCUAACGCUUUGAGCAUUCCGCCUGGGGAGUACGGUCGCAAGAUUAAAACUCAA